UUCAUGGGUAGAAUGUAAGAUGACAUUGUAAAAGACGUUCAUUCGAAGCGUAGCUAAACACACAGGCGGUUCAACGGAAAAUAUUAAGAGCGACAUUUAUAUAAAGGCAGUGUUCUGCAUACGGAGUGUUCCAGAUUCUUCCGGGGAAAAAGUGAAGCAGCAAUUUCAAAGACACACCAUUGAAUUAAUUAUCCACCAGGCCGGCGUCACAUCAUAACAGCUCUGCACAAAACGCAACAGCCCGCGCAUUGAU